UUCUUCCCCAUAGCUUUUCUUUGAAUAUCUGCAACUCUUUAGCUGCAAAAAUCAAGAACCCAAGCUAAAAAAACAGUAAAUUCUUGAGUUUCUUCAUAAAAGCUCUAAUCUUUGCAAGUACCCUGAGUUAAUAAUUGCUGAAUUAGUUAGUAUUUACUCUGCAAACUGUAUAAACACGAGAUUAACUGAUAAACCUUUAUAAUACAGUAAAUAUUUUUGGUCAGAAGAACAAGAUUUCAGUUUGGGUCUCUUUCCUGUACAUUGAUGAUGGAAAAGUGAACAUUUCCCUUUGCCCCUUUGGUCCUGAGAACUCAAAAGCAAAAAAUGAUAUUCAUUAGGGAAAGACUCUCAAAAAAGUUAGAUUGACUCGAUUUACCUCUUUAUGGGCCCGGAGGUGGGUUCAUGGGGUCCAGAACUAUGGGCAUACAGUUCAGUAUUGAGUCUCGAAGCUAGAUUGACUUGAUUUAUCUCCUCCCGCGUUUCGGGGCGUGUUCUUGAGGUCUAGGAUAUAGUCUAGCGAAGUCGAGAAAUUUGGGUUAUAAAACAAAAAAAAGA